GAUGAACGCUAGCGGCAGGCUUAAUACAUGCAAGUCGAGGGGCAGCGCGCAGCAAUGUGGCGGCGACUGGCAAACCGGGUGCGGAACACGUACACAACCUUCCUCUUGGUGGGGGACAGCCCAGGGAAACUUGGAUUAAUACCCCAUAACAUACUGUGAUUGCAUAAUUACGGUAUUAAAGAUUUAUCGCCGGGAGAUGG
rnacentral:rRNA from 1 species